AGACACAAGGCAGCUGCAUUUUCAAGCCUUGGCGUCUCGUCGGCUAAUUGAAUGUUCGGAAACACAGGCAGGUUAUUUGUGUGCAGGUCAUUACAGUAUUUCCUGCCAAUGACAGCGAGAGUGGAGAGACUAAACACUUGUCACCUGUGACUAAAUGUGCCCGGGGCGGGGUGUGCAUCUGUGGAACGUACAGUGUGUUUAUGUGCUGUGUAGAUUUGUGUCGAUAUCCACAGGUGAUGCAUCAAAUGAGAGUCAUUAAGAGCAAGUGGAUGAUAAUUUGCCUACUAACCGUAGUCAGUUACAGAUUUAGGAGCCCUCUGAUCACUUCCGUCAUCGUUACGUUUCUUGUUCUUGGACUUCCAUGCGUGAUAGACCUUCAGACGGCGGUGGAACUCCUCUCUGCAGGCCGCCAGCAGCUCGAUGUCUGUCCACACGACAUCAAACAGAUGGUGGUGCGCUGGACCUGCUCCUCGCGCUCCGCAGCCAGCUGGAUCUCCAGCUCCGCCUAGCGUCUACGGAGGCAGCCAGCUCUUGAACCUGUUUGGCCAUCUCCUGCUUGCCCUCCUUCAGCCCGCUCACCACCACGUUGAAGCGCUCCAUGUGUUUCU